rnacentral:ncRNA from 1 species
AAGGUUGUCUUGUGGGUUAAAAGGGAAUCGGGUGAGAGUCCCGGACAGUCCCGCUGCUGUGAGUUUUGUGGCAAUUCUACCUGAUUGAUUUGCAGAUAAGCAAGUCAAUGAAAUAGAGCGAUUGCCGUUCUGUUGCACGAGAGUCACUGCCGAACAAGAAGUUCGGUGGGAAGACGCAAGAGAAGAAACGAGUCAGAAGACCUGCCAAGUAUGC